UGAAUUUCGGGAUCAAGGGGCUGGUCAUGCCACUGGUAUGUACUUACGUUCAAGCGUGAUCCUUCUAAAGAACCAUGAUGUCAUUCAUUUGAUGUUAUGGGGAAUUAGGACUGUUACCUUGAAAAAAUUAGAGUGUUUAAAGCAAGCUUACGCUUGAAUACAUUAGCAUGGAAUAAUGAAAUAGGACAUCAGAUUCUAUUUUGUUGGUUUCUAGGAUCGAUGUAAUGAUUAAUAGGGAUAGUUGGGGGCAUUAGUAUUCAAUUGUCAGAGGUGAAAUUCUUGGAUUUAUUGAAGACUAACUACUGCGAAAGCAUUUGCCAAGGAUGUUUUCAUUAAUCAAGAACGAAAGUUAGGGGAUCGAAGACGAUCAGAUACC
rnacentral:rRNA from 1 species